AAGUCGUAACAAGGUCUCCGUUGGUGAACCAGCGGAGGGAUCAUUACCGAGUUAUACAACUCAUCAACCCUGUGAACAUACCUAAAACGUUGCUUCGGCGGGAACAGACGGCCCCGUAACACGGGCCGCCCCCGCCAGAGGACCCCCUAACUCUGUUUCUAUUAUGUUUCUUCUGAGUAAAACAAGCAAAUAAAUUAAAACUUUCAACAACGGAUCUCUUGGCUCUGGCAUCGAUGAAGAACGCAGCGAAAUGCGAUAAGUAAUGUGAAUUGCAGAAUUCAGUGAAUCAUCGAAUCUUUGAACGCACAUUGCGCCCGCCAGUAUUCUGGCGGGCAUGCCUGUUCGAGCGUCAUUACAACCCUCAGGCCCCCGGGCCUGGCGUUGGGGAUCGGCGAGGCGCCCCCUGCGGGCACACGCCGUCCCCCAAAUACAGUGGCGGUCCCGCCGCAGCUUCCAUUGCGUAGUAGCUAACACCUCGCAACUGGAGAGCGGCGCGGCCACGCCGUAAAACACCCAACUUCUGAAUGUUGACCUCGAAUCAGGUAGGAAUACCCGCUGAACUUAA
rnacentral:rRNA from 2 species